UACGUAGGGGGCAAGCGUUGUCCGGAAUGAUUGGGCGUAAAGGGCGCGUAGGCGGCUAUUUAAGUCUGGAGUGAAAGUCCUGCUUUCAAGGUGGGAAUUGCUUUGGAUACUGGAUAGCUUGAGUGCAGGAGAGGUAAGUGGAAUUCCCAGUGUAGCGGUGAAAUGCGUAGAGAUUGGGAGGAACACCAGUGGCGAAGGCGACUUACUGGACUGUAACUGACGCUGAGGCGCGAAAGUGUGGGGAGCAAACAGG
rnacentral:rRNA from 1 species